rnacentral:rRNA from 1 species
GAUGAACGCUGGCGGCGUGCCUAAUACAUUCAAGUCGAGCGAACAGACGAGGAGCUUGCUCCUCUGACGUUAGCGGCGGACGGGUGAGUAACACGUGGAUAACCUACCUAUAAGACUGGGAUAACUUCGGGAAACCGGAGCUAAUACCGGAUAAUAUAUUGAACCGCAUGGUUCAAUAGUGAAAGACGGUUUUGCUGUCACUUAUAGAUGGAUCCGCGCCGCAUUAGCUAGUUGGUAAGGUAACGGCUUACCAAGGCAACGAUGCGUAGCCGACCUGAGAGGGUGAUCGGCCACACUCGAACUGAGACACGGUCCAGACUCCUACGGGAGGCAGCAGUAGGGAAUCUUCCGCAAUGGGCGAAAGCUUGACGGAGCAACGCCGCGUGAGUGAUGAAGGUCUUCGGAUCGUAAAACUCUGUUAUUAGGGAAGAACAAAUGUGUAAGUAACUAUGCACGUCUUGACGGUACCUAAUCAGAAAGCCACGGCUAACUACGUG